rnacentral:misc_RNA from 1 species
GAAAUGCGAUAAGUAGUGUGAAUUGCAGAAUUCAGUGAAUCAUCGAAUCUUUGAACGCACAUUGCGCCCCUCGGUAUUCCGUGGGGCAUGCCUGUUCGUGCGUCAUCUACACCCUCAAGCUCUGCUUGGUGUUGGGCGUCUGUCCCGCCUCCGCGCGCGGACUCGCCCCAAAUGCAUUGGCAGCGGUUCCUUGCCCCCCUCUUUGCGCAGCACAUUGCCAUUCGAGGCGGCGGCGGCCCGCGUCCAACAAGCUCAACCCCCCCGUCUUUGACCUCGGAUCAGGUAGGGAUACCCGCUGAACUUAAGC